rnacentral:rRNA from 1 species
UACGAAGGGGGCUAGCGUUGCUCGGAAUCACUGGGCGUAAAGCGCACGUAGGCGGCUUUCUAAGUCAGGGGUGAAAUCCUGGAGCUCAACUCCAGAACUGCCUUUGAUACUGGGGAGCUCGAGUCCGGAAGAGGUGAGUGGAACUCCGAGUGUAGAGGUGAAAUUCGUAGAUAUUACGGAAGAACACCAGUGGCGAAGGCGGCUCACUGGUCCGGUACUGACGCUGAGGUGCGAAAGCGUGGGGAGCAAACAGGG